CUAAUAAUAACAUUCCUUGGUUCUCAUGCAGGUGAAGAGGAACGUUUCCUUGGAAUUAAGGCUGCCGCUAAGUAAAGGUCAAGGCACGGAGCAGCUGGAUGUCCGUGUGGAUCCUGCAAAUGGAGAGGCUCUGCUGUGGAAACAGGAUGGAACUUAACCUCAGCUAAAACAGUGGUGGAGAGCAGAGUGAUUUUCUAAAUAAUUAACUUUUUUCUUUUACAUACAUUAAGCCAUACACACAGCCUGAGGCACUGACAUUUUAAUUAUUUUAAUCAGUCUUUGAUGACCUC
rnacentral:lncRNA from 1 species